CGUUAAAACACCGCUUCUCGUACGACCAUUGAAGUUAAGCAAUCUCGAGCCUGGUCAGUACCUACAUGGGUGAUUGCUUGGGAAUAACAGUUGCUGUAA